GACGAACGCUGGCGGCGUGCCUAAAACAUGCAAGUCGAACGAAGGCUUCGGCCUUAGUGGCGCACGGGUGCGUAACGCGUGGGAAUCUGCCCCUCGGUUCGGAAUAACAGCGAGAAAUUGCUGCUAAUACCGGAUAAUGACGUAAGUCCAAAGAUUUAUCGCCGAGGGAUGAGCCCGCGUAGGAUUAGCUAGUUGGUGUGGUAAAAGCGCACCAAGGCGACGAUCCUUAGCUGGCUGAGAGGAUGAUCAGCCACACUGGGACUGAGACACGGCCCAGACUCCUACGGGAGGCAGCAGUGGGGAAUAUUGGACAAUGGGCGAAAGCCUGAUCCAGCAAUGCCGCGUGAGUGAUGAAGGCCUUA
rnacentral:rRNA from 1 species